CUGAAACCGAGAGGAAGAAACAUU
rnacentral:piRNA from 1 species